UAAAACACCUGGUGGCAGGUGGGCACACAUUAGGGGCUCACUGAAUGAGAGUUCUUACUGUUCUAUCAUCCUUGUUCCCAGCUACUGAAGCUCAUCUGUCACCUGUAAUCUGAGCAUUUGGACAAGUAGACCUAGAGCAGUUGCUAAGAUCAUGGACUUUGGAGCCAGACCUGCUAUGUUCAAAUCCCCUUCUACUCUUUAUGGUACUACACACAAACACUAUACAGGUGUCCCUUGCUCUUCAAAAGUUUGCCUUGGGCUUCCCUGGUGGCGCAGUGGUUGAGAGUCCGCCUGCCAAUGCAGGGGACACGGGUUCGAGCCCUGGUCUGGGAGGAUCCCACAUGCCGCGGAGCAACUAGGCCCGUGAGCCACAACUGCUGAGCCUGCGCGUCUGGAGCCUGUGCUCCGCAACAAGAGAGGCCACGACAGUGAGAGGCCCGCGCACCGCGAUGAAGAGUGGCCCCCGCUCGCCACAACUGGAGAAAGCCCUCGCACAGAAACGAAGA